rnacentral:rRNA from 2 species
ACGGGAGGCAGCAGUCGGGAAUAUUGCACAAUGGAGGAAACUCUGAUGCAGUGACGCCGCGUACAGGAAGAAGGUCUUUGGAUUGUAAACUGUUGUCGAGAGGGAAGAAAAAAGACAGUACCUCUGGAGGAAGCUCCGGCAAACUACGUGCCAGCAGCCGCGGUAAUACGUAGGGAGCGAGCGUUAUCCGGAUUUAUUGGGUGUAAAGGGCGCGUAGACGGUAUAGCAAGUUGGUUGUGAAAUCCCGAGGCUCAACUUCGGAACUGCAACCAAAACUGCUUAACUUGAGUGUGGGAGAGGAAAGCGGAAUUCCUAGUGGAGCGGUGAAAUGCGUAGAUAUUAGGAGGAACACCAGUGGCGAAGGCGGCUUUCUGGACCAUAACUGACGUUGAGGCGCGAAAGUGUGGGGAGCAAACAGGAUUAGAUACCCUGGUA